AAAUCGCUUAGUUACGAUAGUUUGGGCAUUUCUGAACACAGUUAUUUCCCUUGUAAAGGGAGGGUACUCUGUCUUGACUUAACUAUCGUCAGUUUUCCAGAGUAACCUUUCCUUUUUCUUGAAAAAAAAUGGCGAGACGAUGCAUGAGAAAUUCGGGCUAGCUCCUCGGAUUUUCAGAAUUCUGGCAUCAUUUGUGAAUUUCUAUGGACAAGAACAAUUGUGUGUGCAUUUCUUUUUGCUUUUCAAAGAUCAAAAUGUGUUCCUAUAAGUCAUCUUUGUGUUAGACUUCUUGUACGGUGACAACUGUGUAACCACGUGCAGAAAAAAUUUCUAUUUCAUCUACCCGAUUCUGUAUGGAUUACAAUAAUAAAAGUGGGCUCUCAAGCAAGUUUCAGACGACGCCAACGUCGUUCGAGUGAUCACAGCCGCUGGUGUACAGGGGGUGAUGCUGACAUUGUGCUAGACUGGUUUCUGUUCCCUGGCAGUUCACGUUAUUAAGCAGAAUGUGACCUGAACCUCGUCCAUAUCUACGGGGGCUGACAGCUGCUGCUCCACCACUGUCGGUCUUCAUGUGCAACUAGCUAACAAGAUGGCAGUCUUCAGUUAAUCUCCACCUCGACUCUUUACCUUUAACAAUGAAAUCUUACCUCGAAAUCACCCGCAAAAUCAGCGACAGAGGGAGGGAGAAAGGUUCAGAAAAUGCGAUCUCAACGGCAGAUGUUAAUCUUCACCACUAUCGUGUGAUUUGCUAAGGUUCAAUCCAUCCGCAAAAAGUCUAUCAGCUCGAGACAUGUCUCCAGUAGCCAUCUGUUAUGAGAGGUAACCCGUUUCUUUGCUUUCACCAUGACUUGGCUAAAUAAGGACAAUGGUGACAAUGUCUUUUUGUGUAUGUGUCAGCGGGCUUGGCUUUUUCAUUCGCAUGGACUAUCACCGGGAAUUCCACUGGCUUAAGCGUGGGUUUUGAUAUAAAUGAACAGUGUUGUGUAUGUUUGAAAAAAUGUUGCAACAGUGUUGUUGUAAAAUUUACCACCACUGCUGUCCAUCUCCCUCCAUCGUUAGUACUAUUGGAGGAAAUUCCCUUCAGGGAAUACAUUGAUUCCAACAUAUCACACUAAUAGCCUGGCGUUGUACAAGAUGUUAAAUUGUGUAUCAAGGCAUGAGAUUUAUGCAGAAAGAAGGCCAACAAGUGAGGCGGCUACCCUUAGCGACUCACCCAAGGAAGCCAAGACUGACGGCCUUAAGAAGCAUGAGCCACGGCGGAAAAGGGUACGACGGGUAACGGCACCGCAGUCACCAAGAGACACAACUCUAAGAAAUGGGAGACGAGCCAGUAGAGGAACAGGUGGUGUGUGUGGAAAGGAAAACUUAGCCACCGUCCGGUGGAAGGAAUCCGCGUGAAUCGACGGGAGAGCUGAUCACUUGUCUUGAUUCUUUGCCAUGAGCUGACAUUGAACAGCGGGCAGACCACAACCCUCAACUAAUGGAGGGAUAAUUUGAGAAAAAUUCCAGAGUAGAUACUACUUGAUAUGCGUUGGCGGACAACGAGAAAAUAAAAUUGCGACAGUUAACGAGGAAGUGAGAAAAAGGAAUCAUGUAGUGAAACAGAUCCAGAUUAUCCAAAGACAAGAAUAGUUCCAGGUCAGGAGAGUCGGCCAAGCAGUGACCUAGCUGAGAAACACCAUAGCAGUUGGAGUGAUACCCCUUGAAAACCAUUGCCAAUAGACCAACACUAACCACUAUAAACCAUCCCUGUAAAUUACAAUGCAGCCUAGCGGGGUGGGAGAGGUUAGUCUCUAGGUUGAAGACAGCCUGUGAAUACAGUGAAGUAUGUUUUAAUUUUUUAUCAGUAUGUCGGGCAUAUAGGUGUAGGUGUAGGUAAAGGUGUAUUGGUUGAUGUUAUGUGUGACAUUUAAAUUAAGCAUUAAUUAUAAUGCUCCUCUAACAAUUUGCUGUGUAAUUAAAGUAAAUGUAAAUUUGUAAGUGAUAAGGAUGACUGUGUAGUUUUAUUACUUGUUGCUGCUUUUAACGACAAAAAAACUAUAUUAAAUAUAUAUAUAAACAGCAAGAGACACUACAAAAUAUUGUAUUGCAUUAUUUUGACGAUAUUCUACUUUACCAAAGUUUAAGGUAAGAUAAAUAACAACCCCUUGUAUCAUUUUUAAAUAUUCAUCUGUCGAUAAAACGUAAACAGAAACAUGACGUGAAUCUGUUUGGUUUAAAUUAUUAUUAAUAAUAAUAAUAAUAAUGCGUGUCACAUUCUCUAGAAAAUACUUAAUUUGUAACAAAACAGUAAUUUCAAAGAAAUAAAGUGAUUAUUAACGAGACGUUAACCACACAUUUAAUAAAAAAAAAAAAAUAAAUAAAAUACUGGAG
rnacentral:lncRNA from 1 species